rnacentral:rRNA from 1 species
UACGUAGGUGGCAAGCGUUGUCCGGAAUUACUGGGUGUAAAGGGCGUGUAGGCGGGGAUGCAAGUCAGAUGUGAAAUUCCGGGGCUCAACCCCGGCACUGCAUCUGAAACUGUGUCUCUUGAGUGCUGGAGAGGAAAGCGGAAUUCCUAGUGUAGCGGUGAAAUGCGUAGAUAUUAGGAGGAACACCAGUGGCGAAGGCGACUUUCUGGACUGUAACUGACGCUGAGGCACGAAAGCGUGGGUAGCGAACAGGAUUAGAUA